rnacentral:rRNA from 1 species
AGCAGCAGCCGCGGGAAUACGAAGGGUGCAAGCGUUACUCGGAAUUACUGGGCGUAAAGCGUGCGUAGGUGGUGGUUUAAGUCCGUUGUGAAAGCCCUGGGCUCAACCUGGGAAUUGCAGUGGAUACUGGGUCACUAGAGUGUGGUAGAGGAUAGUGGAAUUUCCGGUGUAGCAGUGAAAUGCGUAGAGAUCGGAAGGAACAUCUGUGGCGAAGGCGACUAUCUGGGCCAACACUGACGCUGAGGCACGAAAGCGUGGGGAGCAAACAGGAUUAGAUACCCCGGUAGUCCCUGUCUCUUAUAC